CCUACGGGUGGCAGCAGUGAGGAAUAUUUGUCAAUGGACGAGAGUCUGAACCAGCCAAGUAGCGUGAAGGAUGACUGCCCUAUGGGUUGUAAACUUCUUUUAUAUGGGAAUAAAAUGUUCCACGUGUGGGAUUUUGUAUGUACCAUAUGAAUAAGGAUCGGCUAACUCCGUGCCAGCAGCCGCGGUAAUACGGAGGAUCCGAGCGUUAUCCGGAUUUAUUGGGUUUAAAGGGAGCGUAGGUGGAUUGUUAAGUCAGUUGUGAAAGUUUGCGGCUCAACCGUAAAAUUGCAGUUGAAACUGGCAGUCUUGAGUACAGUAGAGGUGGGCGGAAUUCGUGGUGUAGCGGUGAAAUGCUUAGAUAUCACGAAGAACUCCGAUUGCGAAGGCAGUUCACUGGACUGCAACUGACACUGAGGCUCGAAAGUGUGGGUAUCAAACAGGAUUAGAUACCCGUGUAGUC
rnacentral:rRNA from 1 species